GACGGGUGAGUAACGCGUGGAUAACCUGCCGUAUACCGGGGGAUAACACUUAGAAAUAGGUGCUAAUACCGCAUAAGCGCACGGCUCCGCAUGGGGCAGUGUGAAAAACUCCGGUGGUAUACGAUGGAUCCGCGUCUGAUUAGCUAGUUGGCGGGGUAACGGCCCACCAAGGCAGCGAUCAGUAGCCGGCCUGAGAGGGUGGACGGCCACAUUGGGACUGAGACACGGCCCAAACUCCUACGGAAGGCAGCAG
rnacentral:rRNA from 1 species